UUAUAAGCGUUAGGGAUUGUCGUGAAAAUCCUUUGGCAAUUUUAUGAGCCAAAGAUUGUAACAAAAGCCCGACCGUUA
rfam:Mesonia phycicola strain DSM 21425 genome assembly, contig: Ga0070602_105